CCUACGGGUGGCAGCAGUCGAGAAUCAUUCACAAUGGGGGAAACCCUGAUGGUGCGACGCCGCGUGGGGGAAUGAAGGUCUUCGGAUUGUAAACCCCUGUCAUGUGGGAGCAAAUUAAAAAGAUAGUACCACAAGAGGAAGAGACGGCUAACUCUGUGCCAGCAGCCGCGGUAAUACAGAGGUCUCAAGCGUUGUUCGGAAUCACUGGGCGUAAAGCGUGCGUAGGCUGUUUGGUAAGUCGUGUGUGAAAGGCUCGGGCUCAACCAGCGGACGGCACAUGAUACUGCGAGACUAGAGUAAUGGAGGGGGAACCGGAAUGCUCGGUGUAGCAGUGAAAUGCGUAGAUAGCGAGAGGAACACUCGUGGCGAAGGCGGGUGCCUGGACAUUAACUGACGCUGAGGCACGAAGGCCAGGGGAGCGAAAGGGAUUAGAUACCCCAGUAGUC
rnacentral:rRNA from 1 species